rnacentral:rRNA from 1 species
CUAUUUUCUUAGAGAUAGAGUUCCUUCGGGUCUUUCUGCAAGGUGCUGCUAUGGUUGUCGUCAGCUCGUGCCGUGAGGUGUCGGUUAAGUCCCAUAACGAGCGCAACCCUUAUCGUUAGUUGCCAUCUGGUAAAGCAGGGACUCUAGCGAAACUGCCACCGUAAGGUGAGAGGAAGGUGGGGAUGACGUCAAAUCAGCACGACCCUUAUGUCCAGGGCUACACACGUGUUACAAUGGUCGGUACAGAGGGCAGCUACCUGGUGACAGGAUGCUAAUCUCGAAAACCGGUCUCAGUUCGGAUCGAAGUCUGCAACUCGACUUCGUGAAGCUGGAUUCGCUAGUAAUCGCGCAUCAGCUAUGGCGCGGUGAAUACGUUCCCGGGCCUU